AGAGUUUGAUCCUGGCUCAGGAUGAACGCUGGCGGCGUGCUUAACACAUUCAAGUCGAACGGGUUCUUACGACGGAACGACUCGGUGGGAAGAUGUAAGAACUAGUGGCGGACGGGUGAGUAACGCGUGAGCAACCUGCCUGACAAAGAGGGAUAACACAUGGAAACGUGUGCUAAUACCACAUGAAGCUUAAGGAGCGCAUGCUUCAUAAGUUAAAGGGCAACCGAUGUCAGAUGGGCUCGCGUAUGAUUAGGCAGUUGGUGAGGUAACGGCUCACAAACCGACGAUCAUUAGCCGAACUGAGAGGUUGAACGGCCACAUUUGGAACUGAGAAACGGUCCAGACUCCUACGGGAGGCAGCAGUGGGGAAUAUUGGGCAAUGGGCGAAAGCCUGACCCAGCGACGCCGCGUGAGGGAAGAAGGUCUUCGGAUUGUAAACUUCUUUUACCAGGGACGAAGGAUGUGACGGUACCUGGAGAAAAGCCACGGCUAACUACGUGCC
rnacentral:rRNA from 1 species